UCACCUUGGCGCCAGAUACUGGCUCCGACCACAAUUUCAAUAUUCAUUUGAUUUUUAAAUGCAUUUCAAAGGUGGGGCCGUGCGGCAAUAGUGGAGAUGGGAAGGCUGUUGGGCGGUUCAAGCACUACGAGCAUAAAUAUAGCGGUGCAAAACAGCCUAGAACGGCGCCGUCCAAUGUUCUUCUAAAACCCAAGAAGCACCGACGAAGAACUUUGAAGAAGUGAAAAGCUUCGUCAAUGGCGUACUUGCUCUCCGUAAGCUUCUCUUUGCCUCUCCUCUCUAUAAUUCACGAACCCAACUUCAGGUAAAAAAGUUAAUACUCUUUAGUAUCGAAGCACUCUUUCAAAAGUUCCUCUCUUAAACGCUUGUUUGGCUGCUGAGAAAAUGUCAGGAAAGAAAACUUUCGAGUCUUCAAGGAAAAAAUAAAAGAAAGGACAAACUUUUCAAUGUCUUCGAGAGGUAAAAGGCUUGUUUGCCUGAAAAAGAAUUCAGCCAAGUUACAGCUACAUUACUAUGCUAGGUUGGGUUUUUUUUUUCCCCUUGAAACUGAUGUAAAACAAACAUACUCAAAAUUUUUCCUUUGUAUUUUCUUCACAUUUUCUCGGGAGCCGAACUGGUGGAAAGAAUGAGAACCGACUCAUUCGGAUGGUGUAUUUAUUUUUGGGCUCUUUUCUAAUAUGCUUAUUUUAGUACCCAGUGGAUUGAUAAUUGUGGUCGCUGCCCACGUCAAAUUUCUCUACACUCCGUGGUCACGUUUGUUUUACAGAGUGCUUUUUUUUGGACAUUGUAAAAUUGUGCACAUGAUGAAGGCUGGAAAGCUAUUCAUCGUGGGCUUGGCAAGAUAGGAGAAAACUAGGGCUGAAGGAAAAGUUCUCGAAGAAGCUAAAAUGAUCAACAAGUCCCUCUCGGCCCUUGGGAAUGUCAUAAAUGAUCAACAUCCUGUUUCAUGUUUCCAAGCUUACUAGUAUUCUACAUGAUGCACUUGUUGGUUUCCUAGCCUUCUCAUCAUACCAGUAUCAACUUGUAGUUAAUAUCCAAUCUUGUUUGUAAUCUUGCAGGGUGGGGACUCCAGAACUGCUUUGUUGUGUUGUUGCUUACCGAGCCCUUCAAAUGCAUCAGAGAACCUGUAGAACGGGUUGAAGACCAGCAAAAUCUAACCUCCAGAUUGAAAAUAUGCCAUUUCCCCUUUUUGGAGUGGAACGUGUAAAGAGUUGCAAGUUGGUCAGACCCAACGGCAAGGUCUCCCUUUUUUGGGGAUUGUGGUAUUCUAUUUGGAUUACUAGAGUAUGAAUCAUUCUUUUGUAUUACAUUUUGGAAAUUAGAUAGUUUCAUUGUAUACAGGAAAUUUAUAGUUUAUGUAUUA